UACAUGGGGUGCAAACGUUGCUCGGAAUUAUUGGGCGUAAAGCGCGCGUAGGCGGUUACUCAAGUCGGAUGUGAAAGCCCUCGGCUUAACUGAGGAAGUGCACCCGAAACUGAGUAGCUAGAGUACUAAAGAGGGUCGCGGAAUUCCCGGUGUAGAGGUGAAAUUCGUAGAUAUCAGGAGGAACACCGGUGGCGAAGGCGGGUCUCUGGGCCACUACUGACGCUGAGAAGCGAAAGCAUGGGGAGCGAACAGG
rnacentral:rRNA from 1 species